GUCUGUAAACCUGAGUGACUUGUGAGGGUGGUAAGGAGACAACAUCCAGACAUCCCAUUUCACCAAACACUCUAUGAGCCACCUAUUGGCUGCCGCUCUGGGUGUAUUUAAGGCGUAGUGUAUGUCACCUGGGUACCUCUCAUACAGUCAUUGUGUGUGGGUGUGCGUGCGCAGCUCGCGGGAGCCAGGUUAUAGUCCCGAUUGGUACGACAUUGCUGUUGGGUACAGGCUGUCCUUCACUCCAGGUUGUGUGUGCUCUAGAUCGCCUGCACAUUCACAGUUUAUUGAUGACGGAUAAAGCUGUGAGUAACUGAACCCGUGUGUUUGGUGCUCUACUUCGGGUGCAUCUGCUUGUGAGCAUUUCGUUGCUGUGGACUGCAGGGUGAAUGCUCCUUAGACAGCGUUAAGACUGCACUGUUUGUUCUGCUGCUAUUUUUACGACUGUGAGCGUUUAUAUUUGAUUACUUUCUGGCUUUGUUUUUGUUUGUCACGCUCAUGCUGGUGGUUUAGGUGAAGUGUGGUUAGUCCGAGUCGUCAUUUAAGCGAGAGGUGCCAUUAACGUAGCCUGCUUAACUUCACCGGUUGUUACAUUGCCACCAGCAGCGUGUUUGUUUUGUUUAAUGUUGAUUUGAGUUUUCUUUGCUGAAAGCUCCUUUCAGCUUUAAGUUCGUCCUUUUUGUUACCUUGUUUUUUUGUAUUUCAUGUGCUUUAAUUCGAAGACUGUUGUCUUCACUUGUAUUGUUUGCUUUAUUUCUUCUCUUGGUUUUGUUCUUCUCUUUUUUUAACCUCUUGCUGCUCCAUGGCAUGUCUAGGUUUAUGAGCUUUUGGCACGAACCUAGUAUUUACAUCCUUCUGUCUGACCCUUGUGGCCAGUAAGUUGUCCAUUGUUGUUCCCCUUCAUGGUGUGAACUUAAUCUAAUGCAAGUUGUUGGGUUGAAUGUGAGUUGAACUAAUUGUUUUUUUUUUUAUUCUUUCUUUUUUGUUUA